CCCCCCCACCCCCGCAGAUGACCGGGGACAGUGUACUGGGGUCCGGAGGGAACUGGUGAGAGGGAAAGGAGGGCGGCGACCCCACUCCGACUGCAGGGUCACUCCGUCUCCGGCCCUGCCCAGGCCUGGCCAAUGACAGUGGCCUUGCUGGGAGCUCAUGGGAGCUUCCAUCCUCCCAAGGCCCCAAAUGUACCUCUCUAUCCCCCACCCCCGAAUCCCCCGCACACAAUCACAUACACACUCGUUUCCGGGCCCACUGUGUUCCAGUGCCUCCCGAGUGUAUCGAGACAGUUCCUGUAAAGCAUGGACGACAAACAACCACACAGGAGCCUGUAUCCAGGGAGAGGGGGACAGCGUUGAGGCCAGUCACGGGGAAGGUGCCGUCCGCCAGAGGGACUGGCUGUCCGCGGCCAGGAGGUGAGAGGCAGGAAGGAACCGUCCUCCCUGGACCUUCGCAGGGGGCCGUGGGGAGCGAGUCCUGCCAGGCGGGCCUGCUCUUCCCCAGGAGCCCCUGACUGCGGCCAUCAGCUGUGCCCGCCUGCCGCCACCUGGACAGGCCAAGUCUCUGAUGUUGCAGAUCUGACUGGGGCCUGAGAACCGGCGCCUCGCACACUCUCCCUGUGCUGCUGCUGCUGCUGCUGGUCCAGGGAUCCCGCUGUGAGAAGCACGUCUUCGCAGGCCUGCAGCCCCUAGGGCCCGGCCACCGGGCCGCUCAGGCAGGGCUUCCCCAGGACCGGAGGAGAGGGGUGAGCGGCCCAGGACGGAAGACACAGCCUCCUCCUCACGGAUCUGUAAGUGA